rnacentral:rRNA from 1 species
AUGGCGGACAUGGGGGUGCGUGACAACUUGCCCUGCUCCACUUCCUGGAGAGAGCUCACACACACCAGCUGGAGGGAUGACGAUUACAGGAGGAUGGUGAUGGCGAGCCUGAUCGAGGCGGUGUACCUGCUGGAGCUGGAGAGGCAGGAGCGGCGGGACGCGGCGGAGGUGGCGCAGCAGUGGUGGAAGCCCUUCAGCUACCGCCUCGCGCACGAGCUGGUGGACGAGCGCGACGGCUCCGUCUUCGGCGCCAUCUUCGAGUGGGAGGACCGCCACCUGCUCGACCGCCGCGGGGAGGAGGAGAGGCCCACCGGCGCGCCCAGCGCGGUGAUCGCGUUCCGGGGCACGCUGCUGCGCGCGCCCACCAUCCGGCGGGACGUGGAGGACGAGCUGCGCCUGCUGGCCUGCAACAGCCUCCGCGGCUCCGCCAGGCUCCACGGAGCGCUGCAGGCGCUCAGGGCCACCAUCGACAGGUUCGGCUCCGAGAACGUGUGCCUCUGCGGCCACUCCCUCGGCGCCGGCUUCGCGCGCCAGGUCGGCAGGAUGCUCAUGGCGUCGCGCCAGCAGCAGCCGCCGCAGCCGCAGCAACAGAACCCCGCCGCGGCGCUCGAGUUCCACCUCUUCAACGCGCCCUACCUGUCGCUGCCCACGGGCGUGCGGAGGGUGGUGAGGACGGCCGACUGCCUGCUCAAGACGAUCCGCACCGGCGUCGCCGCCGUCGGCAGGUGGCACGGCAAGGCGCUCAAGAACGUCGCCUACGCCAACUGCGUGCUCGGCUACACGCGCCUCGACAGCGACGGCAGGAGGUUGUUCGAGUGA